UACGGGGGGGGCAAGCGUUGUUCGGAAUUACUGGGCGUAAAGGGCUCGUAGGUGGCCAACUAAGUCAGACGUGAAAUCCCUCAGCUUAACUGGGGAACUGCGUCUGAUACUGGAUGGCUUGAGAUUGGGAGAGGGAUGCGGAAUUCCAGGUGUAGCGGUGAAAUGCGUAGAUAUCUGGAGGAACACCGGUGGCGAAGGCGGCAUCCUGGACCGGCAUUGACGCUGAGGCGCGAAAGCUAGGGGAGCAAACGGG
rnacentral:rRNA from 1 species